rnacentral:rRNA from 1 species
GUGAGGGACGACGGCCUUCGGGUUGUAAACCUCUUUUAGCAGGGAAGAAGCGAAAGUGACGGUACCUGCAGAAAAAGCGCCGGCUAACUACGUGCCAGCAGCCGCGGUAAUACGUAGGGCGCAAGCGUUAUCCGGAAUUAUUGGGCGUAAAGAGCUCGUAGGCGGUUUGUCGCGUCUGCUGUGAAAUCCGGAGGCUCAACCUCCGGCCUGCAGUGGGUACGGGCAGACUAGAGUGCGGUAGGGGAGAUUGGAAUUCCUGGUGUAGCGGUGGAAUGCGCAGAUAUCAGGAGGAACACCGAUGGCGAAGGCAGAUCUCUGGGCCGUAACUGACGCUGAGGAGCGAAAGGGUGGGGAGCAAACAGGCUUAGAUACCCUGGUAGUCCACCCCGUAAACGUUGGGAACUAGUUGUGGGGUCCAUUCCACGGAUUCCGUGACGCAGCUAACGCAUUAAGUUCCCCGCCUGGGGAGUACGGCCGCAAGGCUAAAACUCAAAGGAAUUGACGGGGACCCGCACAAGCGGCGGAGCAUGCGGAUUAAUUCGAUGCAACGCGAAGAACCUUACCAAGGCUUGACAUAUACGAGAACGGGCCAGAAAUGGUCAACUCUUUGGACACUCGUAAACAGGUGGUGCAUGGUUGUCGUCAGCUCGUGUCGUGAGAUGUUGGGUUAAGUCCCGCAACGAGCGCAACCCUCGUUCUA